AAUGAACGCUGGCGGCAUGCCUAACACAUGCAAGUCGAACGAUCCCUUCGGGGAUAGUCUCGCAUGGGUGCGUAACGGGUGGGGUCCUGCCCUUAGGUUUGGAAUAACUCAGAGAAUUUUGUGCUAAUACCGGAUAAUGUCUUCGAACCAAAGAUAUAUCGCGUUUGGAUGUGCGCGCGUUGGAUUAGCUUGUGGGGGGGGUAAGGGCCUACCACGGCGACGAUCCAUAGCUGGUUAGAGAGGAUGAUCAGCCACACUGGGACUGAGACACGGCCCAGAAUCUUACGGGAUGCAGCAGUGGCGGAUAUUGGACAACCGGCGAAAGCAUGAACGACCACUGCCGGGUAAGCGAUGAAGGCCUUAAGGUUGUAAAGCUCUUUUACCCGGGAUGGUAUUGACGGUACCGGGAGAAUAAGCCCCGGCUAACUCCGUG
rnacentral:rRNA from 1 species